GCACACCACUGUACUCGCCUGUAGCUCGCCGGAGAUCCAUGCCUUUGUGAGCUCGAGUGGAGAGAAAAAAAAAGGAGCAGCGAAGAGCGAACGACCGAGAUGCUGGAGAAGCUGUGGGACGACGUGGUGGCCGGGCCUCGCCCGGAGACGGGCCUCGAGAAGCUCCGCAAGGCCACCACCGCCCGCCCGCUCGUCGUCGUCGACAAAGAAAUAACUACAUGCAUCUUCUCAUCUGCUGGAUUGAGUACAUAGAACACUUGUGCAACACAUUCGGCGAGAACACGGGUCAUCUUUAUAUUCUACUUUCUUUAAGUAUACCAGUGUGAGUACCAGUGUGGUCCGUAGUUAUUCAUUAUCGCCCCCACGGGAUGUUGUACCCAUUGACACUUAAAUAAAGGGUAUUUUCAUGCUUGGGCCAUAAUCAAGUUCUCAUAUUUUUUCUAUGAAUCCAAAAUAUGUGGUCUUCUGUCCCUGUAUGUCAAAAGCAUCGAUACGAACACCGCUAUUUUGUGCAACACUUUUCAUGUCUUUUGAUUUAGUGUAGAUUGUGUACCCAUUGAUGUCAUAUGCUUGCCAUGAUGUCACAAAACAUGAUGGCCCAGAAGCCAAAUUCUUCAUU